AACGAACGCUGGCGGCAGGCCUAACACAUGCAAGUCGAACGCCCCGCAAGGGGAGUGGCCGACGGGUGAGUACCACGUGGGAACCUUCCCUAUAGUACGGAAUAGCCCAGGGAAACUUGGAGUAAUACCGUAUACGCCCGAAAGGGGAAAGAAUUUCGCUAUAGGAUGGGCCCGCGUAGGAUUAGCUAGUUGGUGAGGUAAUGGCUCACCAAGGCGACGAUCCUUAGCUGGUUUGAGAGAACGACCAGCCACACUGGGACUGAGACACGGCCCAGACUCCUACGGGAGGCAGCAGUGGGGAAUAUUGGACAAUGGGCGCAAGCCUGAUCCAGCCAUGCCGCGUGAGUGAUGAAGGCCUUAGGGUUGUAAAGCUCUUUUGGCGGGGACGAUAAUGACGGUACCCGCAGAAUAAGUCCCGGCUAACUUCGUG
rnacentral:rRNA from 1 species